rnacentral:lncRNA from 1 species
UUCAGCUUCUUGCUCCUUCCCCUUUGAAUUUUGACAUUUAAACAAAGAAAUGACUGAAUUCUUAUUUUAUUUACACUGUGGUACAUUGAAUGCCUCUCUUCCUCCCAAUUCUUCACUCCUCUCUGCAUCCACACCCUUGCCAUGGGACUUGGGAUUGGUUAUGGGACUUGACCCUGGCCAUGUGACUUGCUUUGGCCAAUAGCAUGUGGACAGAAGUGACAGGGUAGCAGAGCCAACCCUCGGCCUUCCUUGUAUGUUUCUGUUCACAUUCUUGAGCCUCGGCCAUCCCCCUGAGAAGAUCAUGCCCCAGCUGACUGCUGGUGCAAAGACCUGAGAGCCGUGUGGAGCAGAGCUGCCUAGCCAAGUCAUAGACCUACAGUGACAAGAAGAGGUGCCUAGCCGAGUCAUAGACCUACCGUGAGAAGAAGAGCUGCCUAGCCAAGUCAUAGACCUACAGUGACAAGAAGUGGUGCCUAGCCAAGUCAUAGACCUACAGUGACAAGAAGAGGUGCCUAGCCAAGUCAUAGACCUACAGGGACAAGAUGA